rnacentral:lncRNA from 12 species
AAAGCUUACAGCAUAAUGCUUAUUUUCAUAACUGAGUUAUUUGGACUCUGUACCCCAGAAGGCAACAGUAAAUAUCACUACUGGCCAUUUCCUAAUGAACAUAAAGCAGUAAUAAUUUAAUGUCACUUCAAAAAACAACAAAAAAAAUUCCAUAAAACCAAAAAAUCUCUCAAGGACAGGCUGUCUGGAUGAAUAUUACUAAUAUUUUCCCCCUGUUUCUUCAGCUCCUCCCAUGUGGUGCAUACUCAACUGUAACUGAGUUCAUGAUCCUCCUGAGUUAUGAUGAAGAGCAAUGGCUUGAGACCAUGGAACUGGGAGUACUGGCACAUGGAUAACCCUGUCUGAGGAGCAGCUGGAUAUCUGGUGACCAGACACUUCUGGGUUUUAACAUGGGCCCAGUAAAAGCUAUUUUCAGCCUAAAUGAUCUUUGAUACUGAAACUGGAGUUAACCUGGAUGGUGAGUGGAGGAGAUCAUCUGCUCUGAGAAAUAAACCAAGGGAGAAGGAGGACCCAGCACACCUUGGUGUGGGAGGAAGAAGAGCCCAGUGUGAGACCUCUCUCCAGGAACAGCACUCCCACAGCUCCACCUACUCGUGGCUGGAACCCAAAGGCCUGCCAACAUUCAUUUUUCCCUGCACCAAAUCAUUUAAAUAAACUUGCCCAGUGUAGGCUCAGAGAAAUGCAAUAAACAUCAUUUGUGUGGCUCCUUGGAGCUCAGCUAAUGGGCAGCCUGGAAGGACUUUCUAGGCAAAUGUGGCCUGAAACCUCUAAACCUCACCUUGCACUCCACAACAGCCCAUCAGUGCAAUAUCCUGCUUCUGCCUGCUGUUCAAGCUGCAGGUACCACACUGAACCAAAAAAUAGCUAAGAAACAAAAGACAUUUUAAGUGACUUGUGGUUUCUGCUGAGCACCAGCUGCCCUUUCUGUGUUCUAUGUGUCUUCCAUCCUGAUGCUCUGUGCUCAGGUCUCCUGGGUCCCAUUCAGCUGCAAAAGCCAAAAGCUACAGUGAGAGGAACAAUCUUAAUCUGGUAGGGAAACAAAACAGUUGAUGACUCAUAGAAGCAAAAGGGACAGAUAUUUGAAAAGGAAAAUAGCAGAACAGAUUCAGAUGUAAUUGUGACUCCUACCACAGGAGUGCCUGGAGAAG